rnacentral:lncRNA from 1 species
AAAUAUAUAGGCCCAUCAUUUUUUGAUUUUAUUUAAAUAUAUUCAUUAAAUAUCUGAUUUGCAUCAUCAUCCGAUUAAUAUCCGACCUAUAUCUGAAUUCUUUUUUACUGGAUUUGGACUUGAAUUUUAGUAUAAGGUCAAUUUCCAGAUUCAUAUCCGAAUCUUAACAUGUCAACAUAGAAAAGGAUACGGAUUUAGAACUGUUCGUUUCAUAUCUAACUUGUUUUCAUUCGUAGAACAAUAAAUUGGCUAAAUUACAUAAAAACUUUCUGUCAAAAUCUAAUUUUUACUUUUCCCUCUUGUCAUUUAAAAAACUAUACUUUACCCUUUUGUAAAAUGAAAAAUGUUCACGGAGGGUACGGUGUGAACUGUGAUGAUAAAAUGACUAUUUUGCCCCUCACCAUUUUUGUCUCCUCACUCAUCUUGUUCAUCUGCUGUCUCGAUCGGCCACGAUUCGCGCCUCGAUCGGUCGUGAUUCCUCUCCAUUUUUUUCUCCACCUGCUCCCCACCCUCGUCGCCCCUCCAUUUCGGCGACAAUAGAGAAGAAAUCGAGUUCGGCGUGGAUGGAGAGGUGGGCAAGGGAAACGAGGGCGAAGGCGAGACGGCGGAGGAGGGCGAGGGGGUGUUUAUGGGCGCGUACGGACAUGUGGGCGAGGGCGAGGCAGUGGAGGAGGGCGAGGCGGCGAGUCGGCGAGGUGGAGGAGGGCGAAGCAACAGUAGAGAGGACAGAGGGUAUUUUUGGCAUAAAAAAAUACUUUAUAACGAAACCCUAACGGAUCAUUAAUGGUAGGGGAUGAAGUGAACAUUUUUUAUUUUACAAGGGGUAAAGUG